rnacentral:rRNA from 1 species
CUACGGGCUGCAGCAGUGAGGAAUAUUGCACAAUGGGGGGAACCCUGAUGCAGCAACGCCGCGUGGAGGAUGACGCAUUUCGGUGUGUAAACUCCUUUUAUAUGUCAAGAAAAUGACGGUAGCAUAUGAAUAAGCACCGGCUAACUCCGUGCCAGCAGCCGCGGUAAUACGGAGGGUGCAAGCGUUACUCGGAAUCACUGGGCGUAAAGGACGCGUAGGCGGGCUUGUAAGUCAGGUGUGAAAUCCUACAGCUUAACUGUAGAACUGCACUUGAAACUACGAGCCUAGAGUAUGGGAGGGGGAGAUGGAAUUAGUGGUGUAGGGGUAAAAUCCGUAGAUAUCACUAGGAAUACCUAAAGCGAAGGCGAUCUCCUGGAACAUAACUGACGCUAAGGCGUGAAAGCGUGGGGAGCAAACAGGAUUAGAUACCCGCGUAGUC